rnacentral:rRNA from 1 species
AACGAACGCUGGCGGCAGGCCUAACACAUGCAAGUCGAGCGAGGACUUCGGUCCUAGCGGCGGACGGGUGAGUAACGCGUGGGAACGUGCCCUUUGCUUCGGAAUAGCCCUGGGAAACUGGGAGUAAUACCGGAUGAGCCCUUUGGGGGAAAGAUUUAUCGGCGAAGGAUCGGCCCGCGUUGGAUUAGGUAGUUGGUGGGGUAAUGGCCUACCAAGCCGACGAUCCAUAGCUGGUUUGAGAGGAUGAUCAGCCACACUGGGACUGAGACACGGCCCAGACUCCUACGGGAGGGAGCGGUGGGGAAUCUUAGACAAUGGGGGAAACCCUGAUCUAGCCAUGCCGCGUGAGCGAUGAAGGCCUUAGGGUUGUAAAGCUCUUUCAGCUGGGAAGAUAAUGACGGUACCAGCAGAAGAAGCCCCGGCUAACUCCGUG